rnacentral:rRNA from 1 species
UACGUAGGGGGCUAGCGUUGUCCGGAAUCAUUGGGCGUAAAGCGCGUGUAGGCGGUCCGGUAAGUCCGCUGUGAAAGUCGAGGGCUCAACCCUUGAAUGCCGGUUGAUACUGUCGGGCUAGAGUCCGGAAGAGGCGAGUGGAAUUCCCGGUGUAGCGGUGAAAUGCGCAGAUAUCGGGAGGAACACCAAUGGCGAAGGCAGCUCGCUGGGACGGUACUGACGCUGAGACGCGAAAGCGUGGGGAGCAAACAGG